GACGAACGCUGGCGGCGUGCCUAAUACAUGCAAGUCGAACGCAGUGGGGACGGGUGAGUAACACGUGGGUAACCUCCCAUCAGAGGGGAUAACACUUGGAAACAGGUCCUAAACCGCUAUUUAUGGAUGGACCCGUGGUGCAUUAGCUAGUUGGUGAGGUAACGGCGCACCAAGGCCACGAUGCAUAGCCGGCCUGAGAGGGUGAUCAGCCACACUGGGACUGAGACACGGCCCAGACUCCGACGGGAGGCAGCAGUGGGGAAUCUUGGGCAAUGGACGAAAGCCUGACCGAGCAACGCCGCGUGAGUGAAGAAGGUUUUCGGAUCGUAAAGCUCUGUUGUUAGAGAGGCGGUAUCCAACCAGAAAGCCACGGCUAACUACGUGCCAGCAGCCGCGGUAAUAC
rnacentral:rRNA from 1 species